rnacentral:rRNA from 1 species
AUUGAACGCUGGCGGCAGGCCUAACACAUGCAAGUCGAACGAGUGGCGGACGGGUGAGUAAUGUCUGGGAAACUGCCCGAUGGAGGGGGAUAACUACUGGAAACGGUAGCUAAUACCGCAUACCCUCGGAUGUGCCCAGCUGGGAUUAGCGAGUAGGUGGGGUAACGGCUCACCUAGGCGACGCUCCCUAGCUGGUCUGAGAGGAUGACCAGCCCAACGGGAACUGAGACACGGUCCAGACUCCUACGGGAGGCAGAAGUGGGUAAUAUUGAACAAUGGGCGCAAGCCUGAUGCAGCCAUGCCGCGUGUAUGAAGAAGGCCUUCGGGUUGUAAAGUACUUUCAGCGGGGAGGCGUUACCCGCAGAAGAAGCACCGGCUAACUCCGUGCCAGCAGCCGCGGUAAUC